rnacentral:rRNA from 1 species
CUACGGGUUGCUGCAGUGGGGAAUAUUGGACAAUGGGCGCAAGCCUGAUCCAGCAAUGCCGCGUGAGUGAAGACGGCCUUAGGGUUGUAAAACUCUUUCGCUAGGGAAGAUAAUGACUGUACCUAGUAAAGAAGUCCCGGCUAACUCCGUGCCAGCAGCCGCGGUAAUACGGAGGGGACUAGCGUUGUUCGGAAUUACUGGGCGUAAAGAGUUCGUAGGCGGACUGACAAGUUAGAGGUGAAAUCCCAGGGCUCAACCCUGGAACUGCCUUUAAAACUGUCAGUCUAGAGACCGGAAGAGGUUAGGGGAAUACCUAGUGUAGAGGUGAAAUUCGUAGAUAUUAGGUGGAACACCAGUGGCGAAGGCGCCUAACUGGUCCGGUACUGACGCUGAGGUGCGAAAGCGUGGGGAGCAAACAGGAUUAGAUACCCUCGUAGUC